rnacentral:ncRNA from 1 species
AUAAUGAUACUCCCGUCUUGAACGCUUCACAGCAUUGGGCGGCUGCAUGAGAACCAUGCAGGGGUGAGAUUCCCGUG